rnacentral:rRNA from 1 species
GAUGAACGCUAGCUACAGGCUUAACACAUGCAAGUCGAGGGGAAACGAUAGAGAAAGCUUGCUUUUUCUAGGCGUCGACCGGCGCACGGGUGAGUAACGCGUAUCCAACCUGCCCAUCACUUGGGGAUAACCUUGCGAAAGUAAGACUAAUACCCAAUGACGUCUCUAGAAGACAUCUGAAAGAGAUUAAAGAUUUAUCGGUGAUGGAUGGGGAUGCGUCUGAUUAGCUUGUUGGCGGGGUAACGGCCCACCAAGGCGACGAUGGGUAGGGGUUCUGAGAGGAAGGUCCCCCACAUUGGAACUGAGACACGGUCCAAACUCCUACGGGAGGCAGCAGUGAGGAAUAUUGGUCAAUGGGCGCGAGCCUGAACCAGCCAAGUAGCGUGGAGGACGACGGCCCUACGGGUUGUAAACUCCUUUUAUAAGGGGAUAAAGUUGGCCAUGUAUGGCCAUUUGCAGGUACCUUAUGAAUAAGCAUCGGCUAAUUCCGUG